rnacentral:lncRNA from 1 species
CACAGGCAAUGAACUUCAAAAUUUUCUUUUCUUUUCUUUUGAGGAGGAUGUGAUUUGGCCAUCUGAGGAUCUCUCAUCUGGCUUUGUCAAGCUUUCAGCUGGAUCUGAAGGCUGCAUCCUGUUCCAGCUGUAUCUGCACAAGUGCUGAGGCUGCUGCAGGAGGACAUCAGUGGGGAAAUUUGCCUGUGGAUUUUCAAGAAGGCUGAAGAUGAGCAGUGCUGGUAAACCUGAGCCAUCGGCUGACUCCUCAUUCCAGAAAAGUGUUCCAAGUUCAUCAUUGCUCCUCAGGAAGGGGAUGGCUCCUCAUACUCCAGUAAUACAAAGCGGUUUCUGAUUUGUGAGAGAAGAUGGGAACUGGGAAACAAGGAAUUUGACAGUGCUUCUGCCAAGCUGUUGAAACAAUGCUGCAACACCCCAGUCAGGACCGAAUGCUGAGAGAGCAACAGAGAAAUGAGGUGUGAGGGCAUUAUUGGCCACAUGAGACUUUCUUUAGUUGUUUAAACCCUUUUUUGUUUGUUUGUUUGUUUUCAAUGUCAGUGUAAUUCCUUUUUUAGAUUACCAUGAAACUGAGAGAACAGUGAUCUACAUCUUGCCACAGGCUCCCUGAUCCAGGAGUACCGGAUAUUGGCUGAUAGCUGAGGCAAGGUAAGUGAAUCAAGGAGAAAACAAGUAUUCUUCCUCCCCAGAAAGGUGUGGAAGAAUGUGAUUGCUACAACCCUUACCAUCACAGGGGCAAGGUAAGGAGAUGUGAGUGCUGAAUCUGAACAAAAGCACUCACCCAGAGUGUUUGGAAGAGGUUUUGCAGGAGAGACAUUAUAAGCACAGCUUAUGACUCCU